rnacentral:tRNA from 1 species
ACUACAUUAGUAUUAAUAAGGUACAUAUAAUUUCCAAUUAUAAAGUCAAAUUUGAUGUAGUA